rnacentral:rRNA from 1 species
CCAGAGGGGGACAACAGUUGGAAACGACUGCUAAUACCGCAUGAAACAUUUGAACCGCAUGGUUUGAAUGUCAAAGAUUUAUCGCUGGAAGAUGGCCUCGCGUCUGAUUAGCUAGUAGGCGGGGUAACGGCCCACCUAGGCGACGAUCAGUAGCCGGACUGAGAGGUUGACCGGCCACAUUGGGACUGAGAUACGGCCCAGACUCCUACGGGAGGCAGCAGUGGGGAAUAUUGGGCAAUGGGCGCAAGCCUGACCCAGCAACGCCGCGUGAAGGAAGAAGGCUUUCGGGUUGUAAACUUCUUUUAAGAGGGAAGAGAAGAAGACGGUACCUCUUGAAUAAGCCACGGCUAACUACGUGCCAGCAGCCGCGGUAAUACGUAGGUGGCAAGCGUUGUCCGGAUUUACUGGGUGUAAAGGGCGUGCAGCCGGGAAGACAAGUCAGAUGUGAAAUCCCGCGGCUCAACCGCGGAACUGCAUUUGAAACUGUUUUUCUUGAGUACCGGAGAGGUCAUCGGAAUUCCUUGUGUAGCGGUGAAAUGCGUAGAUAUAAGGAAGAACACCAGUGGCGAAGGCGGAUGACUGGACGGCAACUGACGGUGAGGCGCGAAAGCGUGGGGAGCANACAGGAUUAGAUACCCUGGUAGU